rnacentral:rRNA from 1 species
CAAGUCGCACGAGAAAGGGGGCAACCCUGAGUAAAGUGGCGUACGGGUGAGUAACACGUGGAUCAUCUACCUUCUAGUGGGGAAUACCUCCGGGAAACUGGAGACAAUACCGCAUAAGCUCGUAAGAGGAAAGCAGCAAUGCGCUGGAAGAGGAGUCCGCGGCUGAUUAGCUAGUUGGUGAGGUAACGGCCCACCAAGGCGAAGAUCGGUAGCCGGCCUGAGAGGGCACACGGCCACACUGGCACUGAAACACGGGCCAGACUCCUACGGGAGGCAGCAGUGGGGAAUCUUGCACAAUGGAGGAAACUCUGAUGCAGCGACGCCGCGUGAGCGAUGAAGCCCUUCGGGGUGUAAAGCUCUUUCGACGGGAACGAUAAUGACGGUACCCGAAGAAGAAGCUGCGGCUAACUACGUGCCAGCAGCCGCGGUAAUACGUAGGCAGCGAGCGUUGUUCGGAAUUACUGGGCGUAAAGAGUGUGUAGGCGGUGCUCUAAGUCUGUUGUGAAAUCUCCCGGCUUAACUGGGAGGGUGCGGCGGAAACUGGAGUGCUCGAGGGUGGGAGAGGAAAGCGGAAUUCCUGGUGUAGCGGUGAAAUGCGUAGAUAUCAGGAGGAACACCUGCGGUGUAGACAGCUUUCUGGACCACUUCUGACGCUGAGACACGAAAGCGUGGGUAGCAAACAGGAUUAGAUACCCUGGUAGUCCACGCCCUAAACGAUGCAUACUUGGUGUGAGCCAUUCAUUUGGUUCGUGCCGGAGCUAACGCGUU